rnacentral:rRNA from 1 species
ACUUUAAACUGGUUUGGGAAAACCAAAUAUAUUAUAUAUUUUGCUUUGUUCAAAAUAAGGUUUUCUAAUAAAUUAUGUUUUUAUCAGAUAUGACAGAAUCUUUUUUAAAAUCUCUUCAAUAUGCUUUUAUUGCUUUUGAGAGGUUUUGUUACUUUGAGUAAAAUUAAGUGUUCAUAACAGACGGGUAGUCAUGAUUGAGUUCAUUGUGUAA